GCAGACGUCGUCUAACGGCAGGACACGAAUACCCUCGCCAAUUCUCGCCCGUCACCGGGCCGGCGCGUGAGGGUUACAGGUUAGGGACCUCGAGAUGCCGGUUCGAAUCCGGCCGUCUGCA
rnacentral:tRNA from 1 species